GGCACGCCCGAAGUCGUUACUCCAACCCUUGUGGAGGAGGAUGCCGAAGGUGGGGCUGAUGACUGGGGUGAAGUCGUAACAAGGUAGCCGUACCGGAAGGUGCGGCUGGAUCACCUCCUAACAGGGAUACAAUAACUAAUUGUGAUGUCUGAGUAAUUUAUUCUCAGGCCAUGAUUCUGUCAUCUCUAAGGUCGAUCGGUGCCUCAAUUUGAGAAUUCAAGAAGAACUGAGCAAUUAGUUUGGAGAUGAAGGUCUUAAUUUCAGUUCCUAAACUUUGUCUAGGUCACCCCACAGCGGGUAAAGCCGAGAGCACAUGUAAUUUAAUUAUUUGUGUUUGAUCUGGCAAGCCGAAAGGCGAGCUAGGUUGCGGCGAGAGCUCCUGGGCCAUUAGCUCAGGUGGUUAGA
rnacentral:misc_RNA from 1 species